UUUCACCCGAUGCGAACCCUAAAAUCCCGUUUUCCCUUUCUUCCUCCCGCGACGGCGCCGUGUCCCUUCUUCAAGCGAUCCUUCUCGGGCGAAAACGAAGCUAGGGCUUAGUCUCCGGCGGCCGGCGAGCACUUCUCUCCGUGGGUUCUUCACCGAUUCGAAGUCUCCUCGUCGAAGAGAGCCCGUAAGCACGAAGGAAAGGUUGAAUCUUCAAGUUCUCCGAACCCUAGAGGCUUUCUUUUCCGGCUGUGAGUUCAAGAACGGCAAGAUAAAGGUAAAGGAUGGAUAAACUAAAGGAGCAGCAGGAGGGGCAAAAGAUGUGUGUGGCGGUGGCUUGGCUAAAGAAAAUAAAUGACCUGCUUAUGUUUAUUUUAUGUUGAUGACUUGCAUGACUAUGUUAUUCUUACUUACGCUUAUGUUAGGAAUGGAUGAUUAUGAUUCCUUAAGUUUAUAACAUGCUGAGCAUAUUGGUAUGAUUAGUUAUGUUUUAAAUGAACAAUUACUUCCGUUGUUUUGAUUAGAAAAAAAAUGAAAAAGAAAACUAUUUGUACGUACGCUAUGUAAAGUAGAAAGUAAGUAACCCCGUCCUCACUAGGCAGGAGUGGAGGGCGGGCAUUACAGAUUUGGUGUUAAUACUUUAAUGUGGAUGUGUUGUUUUUGAUGUAGGAUGUUUGAUUUGGGGAUGAUGAAUAUAAAGGGCAACGACUUCACUUGGUCUCAACCACCGUCUCCAACAGUGGGUUGCUCCGAUUUUGGCUCAUUGAUGGCUCCUAGCACUAUCGACACCAAUAUGUGGUAGAUGGUUAGAGUGUCGCUCGGAGUAUCCUGUCUGCCGGGUCCUACGUCACAUCUGAAGAU